GGAAAUUUAGUACAUCAACUUCUUCGCUAUGAAUCUCUUAUAUAUGAAAUAAAUAUUGUAAGAAAUGUCACCUCGUAAUUGCCAAAGGAACAAGGGCAUCACAUACUUGGAAGAAAUUAUUGCAGGUGAGGGAGGAAGUAGAACAUGAGACUUGGUGGCAAAUCAAAAGCGAAAAAUCCAGCUUUAAAUUUGACAAGUAGACACAACAAAGAGCACUAGACCAUUGUCGCACCCUAUUUUUCAUCAAAAACGGACUUUAAUGCACGACCUAACAACUCUUUUGGACUUUUAGGUUGAUUGAAGAGUCGUCACCUAACAAAUUAAGGCGCGUUAGCGAACCUAUUUAACCUAACUAAUUCUAACUAAGGUCAACGAACCAAAGAUUAGAGUAAGGAUUCAAAUUACCUCGAGGGGAAGAUGUUAAGCAUACCUCGAGGUCCACAAAUAUGGAUUCCGGCCUUAUCUCAUGCAAUUUAUGUG
rnacentral:misc_RNA from 1 species